CUUCCACUAAAGCGUUUGCGGAGACUUCAAGAAAAGAAAAAGAAAAAAAUGUCAUUAGAAGAGGCGUAACACGUCAGUCCGUCCCCAGGUUUGUGUUUCCUGGAGUGGCCGAAAAGAGAUCAGUUCUAACCUGCUCGGCAGGAAUAACGGUCCUGCCUCCCGACACUCUUGGCGAGGUUUUGUUCAGUUUGCUCCGGGAGCUGUUUCUUCGCCUCCACCUUUUUCUCCCCCACACUUCGCGGCUUCUUCAUGCUUUUUCUUCUCACCAUUUCUGGCCAAAACUACAAACAAGACUUCGCAGAUCGAGCCUGCGUGCUGCCGAAGCAGGGCGCCGAGUCCAUGCGAACUGCCAUCUGAUCCGCUCUUAUCAAUGAAGCAGCCGAUCAUGGCGGAUGGCCCCCGGUGCAAGAGGCGCAAACAAGCCAAUCCCAGGAGGAAAAACGGUAAGAAGAGGCCCGAACCAAACUUUUCCGGGCCACUCGGCGGCCCGAGACCAGGGGAAAGGGGGGGACAGGGAGAAGGAAGCCUGUGGCGGCGCCUGGGGCUCGCGGGCGAGCCUCCCUCGGCGGCCAGCGCCGGAGCCCCACGCGCGGCCGCUGUACCGGGGGGGAGUUAAGCAAGUGCGGGGCCAAGUGAGCGCCGGGCGCCGGGAGGGGGGGCUCCGAGCGCUACCGAUCGGACCUGCGCCCCACUCCGCGGCCCCGGCACCCCCGCUGCCUCCGCCCGCUCUGCUUCCCGGCCCGCAGGUCGCCGGCCCCGCGGUUGGAGCGGCCGGCGAGGGCAGGGCGGGGGCUCCGGCGCUCGGGCGCGCUGGACCUCGGGGCGCGGGCUAGCGAGGGUGGCAGGAGGGCGGCGAGAGCAUGGGAGGGGACCCGAGGCUGCUUCUCCGCCAGCCUCAAAGUUUCUUGCUGGAGUCGCCGGGCCGCCUCUCUGUGCGCCAAGUAACGGUCCGCGGGCAGCGGGCCCUGGCCAGACGCGGGGAACCGGGGAGUAGGAGGGACUGGCCGGGAGCUGCGGGCUGGGGACCCGGCUUCUCUGCAGCAGGCUCCGGCCCCGCUCCGGGCCAGAGAGUGGGGCGAACAGAGACUUUUCCCGGUAGUUGCUCCUCUACGGCCGGGAGGAACCCGGGAGGAGCCCGUUAUUCCAGGCUGAGUCAGGAAGGAGGAAAGAGAUGGGGGUGAGAGGGAACACGCAGACCAGAGGUGGCAGAUUAAAGGGGUGUGUAUUGCGAGAGUUUAGGUCCAUUUUGGAAAGGGACUGUGUAAAAGUGUGUGUGUGUGUGUGUGUGUGUGUGUGUGUGUGUGUGUGUGUGUGAGAGAGAGAGAGAGAGAGAGAGAGAGAGAGAGAGAGAGAGAGAGACCCCCUAGGUAUUACCCUCAAACAAAAUCGUGGGAAUAAAAGAGAAAAGUGAUUGGCAAGUGCGCGGAAGACGCUUGGGGGAGGGGAGAGAGUUGGGGGACGACAGAGGGUGCAGGGGGUGGGUGCUGACGGAGGAUACUGAGUUUUAAAAGGAAAAAAAAUGAAAAGAAACGGGGGGGGCAGCCCCUCAAAACAAACAAGCGAUCCAGCCGCGCCAGCCCAGAAUCGGAAAGGAAACUUCACUCUCCUUUCGCUCUCAGCCCGCUCACUGGGCACGGGCGGUCUAGACGCUUCUGAGCUGGGCACUAGGGUGGUAGCACACACCCGGGGAUCGCUCCCCAAGCCCGCGCCUGGAGAGUACUGUUCAGAUCCACUUGGAACAACUUUCCACCAGAGAAGACAAUUGUGCGCUCCCCCUAGCUUGCCUCAAUGCUGCACCGCUUGCAAAGGGUUGGGGGGGGGGGGAGUGCAGUGUGGGAGUUUGGGGUCCUGGAGGGAGUAAAACACAAAGACUAAAUGAUUCUGUUUAGAGACAAAUAAUCUCCCCCCCCUCCUCUCCUGUCUCUUAUCGUGUGUGUGUGUGUGUGUGUGUGUGUGUGUGUGUGUGUGUGUGUGUGUGUCUUUUGCUUGUUGUGGUGGAGGUGCGGAGCCAUAUGGGUGAGUGAUAGAGGAAUUUUAGUCAAAAACUGUUCGUUAUGUUACCCUGCCUUUCCUCUUUGUGCUGUCUUUGAUCUGUUUGCUUGGCUUAGUAUUACAAAAAACAAGGACAAUAAUAUAUUCCAAGCUGGUCCCCAAGAUUCGGUUCAGGCUGCCUCUUUUUAAGUAUGUGUGUGUGUGUGUCUCUCUCUCUUUUAAUUUAAUUUUUUCUUCAUUGCUGCCUGGCAUUAUUUAAGGUGGUUCUUACACAGGAGACCUCCCCUUCUCCAUCUCUGGGUAAUUUAGUAGACACUAAAAUUACAUCCAAUGUUCCCCUCUCCUCUCUCGUGUUUCCUCUGUUCCCUUUAUUAAAUGUUAGUUAUUGAUUUUCUAAAAUCAAUGUCUGUUGUGGGGCUUCCCCCCUCACAAGUAUCUAAAGCAUAGUGCUGCUCAUCUGGAUAACAAAAGCUUUGUGUCAUGAAGUGCCCCCCCCCAUGUUAAACAGUUUUUUUUUUUAAGAAAGGACAAUGAGAUUUAAAGUUAAGCAACCAGAAAUAUUCUUCUGCAGUGAAGACUGUUUGAAGUGUUUGUUUCUUCCUGCUCUUCCUCCUUCUUCUACCUUCAUGAUUUUGCUGUGAAAUACCAACCUGGCUCCAGCAGGGAGGUCAGGCCACAGCCCAGUUUGGGGACUGGGAGAGAUUCUGGCUUCUUGAGAACUCGGGUGGUACAAGCUACUGGGGCCUCACAGGUAAUACAGUGGACCAGGGAGGGGUGCAGUCAGGGACACCAACCAUUUCUCUCAUGUUCAGCCAUUAAUUUGGGACAAGCUUCCACAUUCUGAAGUGGAUAAAGUUGAACUUUGAUUUUUUUUUGGUUUCUUUUUCUCUUUCUUUUCUUUUCUUUUCUUUCUUUCUUUCUUUCUUUCUUUCUUUCUUUUUAAGGCAUUUAUCCCAGACCCUAAACGUUCCCCAGCAGCUCUGUGGAUUGCCCACACCAUAUCUGACUUUAACUAUCACCUGUCUCUUUUUCCAAAGAGCCCUCGAGAAAGCACGCUGUAAGCUGGGGACUUACUUGCCAGUGUUUUCAUUAGGUUCAGUCUGACUUAGCAGUGUGUAGGUCUUGAGAAGCAGGUAGGAGAGCUCAGACCAUCUUUUCCCCAUUUUCUUUCUCAUCAAAUACAUACCCAGUGCCUUUUCCUUUGGGAAUUGCCAGGAUUUAUCUGAACUGAGUGGGUUUUUCUUCUUUCCUGGAUUCCUGGAAAAGAUGUCACUUUUGAGCUUGUGUCUUUGCUGAUAACACUGAAUAUGGCGAUGCUUAUCAACAUCAUAUAGAAAUUCCUGGAAAGGAAUAAUAGCAACAAUAAUCACAGAAGCUGCAAGGGGGAGAAAAGACCCAAGACCUAGAAUGGCACUUUAUAUAAUUUUAAUGAAGUCACCAGCGUGUGUGUGUGUGUGUGUGUAUGUGUGUGUGUGUGUGUGUGUGUGUGUGUAGAGUAAGGUGGCAAGGAAGGGAAACCGGCAGAGCAGUGUCUGUGUGUUUGAAAGGCUGGUCAGAACCACGGUGAUGUGAAGUAUUAUUUUUAAAAGAAGCCCAGGCAAAAGAGGCAGAUGGGGGGGGGGCACAAAUAGAGAAGAACAAUCUAAAAUAUCCAAGCACCAAUAUUCUUCAGGCCGGCAGGAUGCCCCGUAAAGACAGUGCCAGGACCAAGUUAAGAAUGGCUGGUAGUACCUCUCCUUCCGUCCACAGGGAAAGCAGAAAAACCUCUUCCUAGAAAACAAGAUGUGCGUGGAGGGAAGGAGAGGUGGGGUUAGGGAAAGAGGCAUUAAAGCAAAUAGGCAGCAGACAAGAAUGUGUGUAGGUUUCAAGAAAGUUCAGUCAGAUGAUCCUCAGCCGCCUGACUCACUUUGUAACACUUUCACUAAGGCUGGAGAGGAGGGGGAAAGCCAGCCCCCCUUUAUAGUCCUCUGAUUAUACCCCCACUAUCUCCACAUAGCCUUGGAAGCAGGAAUGAGCUCUCCAGAAUGGAAAGGUUCUGAUGCAGUCUGCCACCACUUGCAGCCUGUUUGUAACUUGAAAAGUUUGGGGCUUUCACCCCUGAUUUUAGACAGCAGGUCCUAGAAUGCUACCGUUUCCUUCUUGUUUAGUAACCAUCUGGGAAGAAAGGCCUGCUUGCCCAGUCCCCCAGCUUCCACCACCAGCCUCUGGAAAAAUCACAGGGACAUAUGCGUGUUUUAGCACAAAUGAAAUUGCUGGUCUGCCUGUUUCAGAGAAGGGGAUGAAGUUGUCUUUGAAUGGAAAAACAAUGAAUUAGGAAGGGAGAAGAAGGAAACGAAA
rnacentral:sRNA from 1 species